CAGCAGCCGCGGUAAUCCGUAGGUGGCAAGCGUUGUCCGGAAUUAUUGGGCGUAAAGGGCUCGCAGGCGGUUUCUUAAGUCUGAUGUGAAAGCCCCCGGCUCAACCGGGGAGGGUCAUUGGAAACUGGGAAACUUGAGUGCAGAAGAGGAGAGUGGAAUUCCACGUGUAGCGGUGAAAUGCGUAGAGAUGUGGAGGAACACCAGUGGCGAAGGCGGCUCUCUGGUCUGUAACUGACGCUGAGGAGCGAAAGCGUGGGGAGCGAACAGGAUUAGAUACCCCCGUAGUCCCUGUCUCUUAUAC
rnacentral:rRNA from 1 species